GGGGGCGUACUGGUUUCGACGGGGAUGUUGAAGCGUGAAGAGCGAGUAGUGGCCCCGAGCCACUCUAAAAUCGGGAAAAAUAUAAAUUAAACAACACUAAUUCAGAAUUAGUAGCUGCCUAAUUAGGUAGCCGUCUUUCCACGGAGCACCGCGGCUGUGGCAAAGGCGUCGAUUAGCGGUGAACGUGACUUGGAUAAGCUUUGCCCCAAGCAUGACAAAUGAAGCUACUAAAACCCUAAGCCGGCAAACGGGCGUAGGGCGGAGGGAAUGUUAAACCGUAUGCUGCACUCGGAGAAGCUCACGUGAAUGUGUUUUCGGACAGGGGUUCGACUCCCCUCGCCUCCACCA
rnacentral:tmRNA from 1 species